UACGUAGGGGGCAAGCGUUGUCCGGAAUCAUGGGGCGUAAAGCGCGUGUAGGCGGUUCGGUAAGUCUGCUGUGAAAGUCCAGGGCUCAACCCUGGGAUGCCGGUGGAUACUGUCGGACUAGAGUACGGAAGAGGCGAGUGGAAUUCCCGGUGUAGCGGUGAAAUGCGCAGAUAUCGGGAGGAACACCAAUUGCUAAGGCAGCUCGCUGGGACGUUACUGACGCUGAGACGCGAAAGCGUGGGGAGCAAACAGG
rnacentral:rRNA from 1 species